GGCCAUUGCCCUAGUAACGGCGAGUGAAGCGGCAACAGCUCAAAUUUGAAAUCUGGCUCUCGGGCCCGAGUUGUAAUUUGUAGAGGAUACUUUUGAUGCGGUGCCUUCCGAGUUCCCUGGAACGGGACGCCAUAGAGGGUGAGAGCCCCGUCUGGUUGGAUGCCAAAUCUCUGUAAAGUUCCUUCAACGAGUCGAGUAGUUUGGGAAUGCUGCUCUAAAUGGGAGGUAUAUGUCUUCUAAAGCUAAAUACCGGCCAGAGACCGAUAGCGCACAAGUAGAGUGAUCGAAAGAUGAAAAGCACUUUGAAAAGAGAGUUAAAAAGUACGUGAAAUUGUUGAAAGGGAAGCGUUUAUGACCAGACUUGGGCUUGGUUAAUCAUCUGGGGUUCUCCCCAGUGCACUUUUCCAGUCCAGGCCAGCAUCAGUUUUCCCCGGGGGAUAAAGGCGGCGGGAAUGUGGCUCUCUUCGGGGAGUGUUAUAGCCCACCGUGUAAUACCCUGGGGGGGACUGAGGUUCGCGCAUCUGCAAGGAUGCUGGCGUAAUGGUCAUCAACGACCCGUCUUGAAAACACGGA
rnacentral:rRNA from 1 species